GAUGAAGAACGUAGCGAAAUGCGAUAAGUAAUGUGAAUAGCAGAAUUCAGUGAAUCAUCGAAUCUUUGAACGCACAUUGCGCCCCCUGGUAUUCCGGGGGGCAUGCCUGUCCGAGCGUCAUUACAACCCUCAAGCUCAGCUUGGUGUUGGGCCCCGCCGCCCCGGCGGGCCCUAAAGUCAGUGGCGGUGCCGUCCGGCUCCGAGCGUAGUAAUUCUUCUCGCUCUGGAGGUCCGGUCGUGUGCUCGCCAGCAACCCCCAAUUUUUUUCAGGUUGACCUCGGAUCAGGUAGGGAUACCCGCUGAACUUAAGCAUAUCAAUAAGCGGAGGA
rnacentral:misc_RNA from 1 species